AUGGACGGUCAUGGAGAUCCCCACUACGGGCGUCACCCUCAAACUCUUGCCCCUACUGAUUCUCGAUACCCCCAGUUUGAGGAACAAGGUAUUCCCCGCAGUCAUGAACCGCCGUCAAAAUGGGCGAGGAAGAAAGCUAAGAUGGAAUGGAGGAGGAAGCGCUAUGGUCAACACAGCGAGGAGGCCGUAGCUCUCGAGCUGGAGCAAGGAGCCAGCCAGCUACAGAAGGAGGACCUCCCCAAAACCACACUAGGUUCUCCCGUCGGCCACACCAUGGGAAGCCAUGGCCAUCCUGAAACACCUCGUGACAUUCAAUACAGCGAGGAGCAAGCUCCUAAUCCGUGGUGGGACGUGAACCUUAAUCGAGGGGGGGGGGGCAAAAGGGAUCAUAGGCAAGACUCUUCGGUUGAUACUGCUAUGUCACCCGCAGCCACGAGAGGACGUAUUCGCCAGAGCCUUCUCUAUUCAGAUCGCCCCAGGAGACCUACAUCAGAUAAGCUACCGGUUGAGGAGCAUGCGGAUGAGGUAAGCAGCAGGGAGUUUGAAGCCCUGACACUUGAUCAAUCACGCCCUACACCUAAGUCAACUCACAGGGUUGAGAAGAAGGCUAGCAAGGUGAGCAGGGGUGAGGGAUCUACAGUUACAGAUCUACCUGAAUUAACUGAUAGGGUUGAGAAGAAUGCUGGCAAGGUGAGCGACAUUGAGGGUCCUGCAGUUAAGGCUCCACCGGUUAAGGAGGAUGCCAGUGAGGUGCGCAGCAGGGAGUUUAAAUCAGUAACACUCGGUCAGUCACUUCCUACAUUUAACCCAACUCAAAGGUCUAGGAAACGUGAUUAUUACGCUGCAGACAGUACGACUCGCUCUGAGAUUUUUGAGGAGAUGCUCGAAGGUGUAUCAGAGCCUUGGGCACAAAAAUGUCGUGAUAUGCGGAAGUACUUGGAAGAACAUACAUACACUUGUAUGGUGGAGGCUAUGAUUGCCGCUGAACAUGGCUUUAGCAACCCGGCCCAGCAUAAACUGGAUGCUGAAGCAUUCUUGGCAUCAGAAGGGGCAUAUGAAGCUCCUGAAGUCCCUGAGUCCUUUGCCUCUACAAGAGAGAAUAUAGCGCAGGCUGAAGUGUCUACGGAAGAAAUCAUUGAGAAUGGUAAAAAGUGGAUGGGUGAGGAAGUCAUGUUGGCUUUUAAGAAGUACAAGGAAGGAAAGAGCCAAUUCAAAGACGUGGUGCAUUAUGGCCUAGAUGAGCUUCAACAUCAGUGCUUCAGCAUGUUGAGCUAUGAUCACACCUUCCAUCACUUCAACUUCACCGUUAAGAUGGAGAAAUCAGGCGGUGAUUCAUCAUCAACGCCCUUUUUUGCUGAGGUGAAAGAGAUCCAUGGAAGAAAAAUAUUAUUCCUGCUACGAACUAAGUUCGUAUGA
rnacentral:rRNA from 1 species